rnacentral:rRNA from 1 species
AAUAGAUACCCCGGUAGUCCACGCCGUAAACGAUGUCGACUUGGAGGUUGUGCCCUUGAGGCGUGGCUUCCGGAGCUAACGCGUUAAGUCGACCGCCUGGGGAGUACGACCGCAAGGUUAAAACUCAAAUGAAUUGACGGGGGGCCCGCACAAGCGGUGGAGCAUGUGGUUUAAUUCGAUGCAACGCGAAGAACCUUACCUACUCUUGACAUCCAGAGAACUUAGCAGAGAUGCUUUGGUGCCUUCGGGAACUCUGAGACAGGUGCUGCAUGGCUGUCGUCAGCUCGUGUUGUGAAAUGUUGGGUUAAGUCCCGCAACGAGCGCAACCCUUAUCCUUUGUUGCCAGCGGUUAGGCCGGGAACUCAAAGGAGACUGCCAGUGAUAAACUGGAGGAAGGUGGGGAUGACGUCAAGUCAUCAUGGCCCUUACGAGUAGGGCUACACACGUGCUACAAUGGCAUAUACAAAGAGAAGCGACCUCGCGAGAGCAAGCGGACCUCAUAAAGUAUGUCGUAGUCCGGAUUGGAGU